CACGUAGGGGGCAAGCGUUGUCCGGAAUUAUUGGGCGUAAAGAGCGCGCAGGCGGCUCUGUAAGUCUACCGUGAAAGCUUACGGCUCAACCGUAACGGGUCGGUGGAUACUGCAGAGCUUGAGGGCAGGAGAGGAAAGUGGAAUUCCCAGUGUAGCGGUGAAAUGCGUAGAUAUUGGGAGGAACACCAGUGGCGAAGGCGACUUUCUGGACUGUUACUGACGCUGAGGCGCGAAAGCUGGGGGAGUGAACGGGAUUAGAUACCCCGGUAAUCCCAGCCGUAAACGAUGGGUACUAGGUGUAGGAGGUAUCGACCCCUUCUGUGCCGGAGUUAACGCAAUAAGUACCCCGCCUGGGGAGUACGGUCGCAAGACUGAA
rnacentral:rRNA from 1 species